ACGGGCCCAGCCGCUCCGUGGCACGUGGGAUCCUCCCGUACCGGGGCACGAACCCGUGUCCCCUGCAUCGGCAGGCGGACUCUCAACCACUGCGCCACCAGGGAAGCCCCAAACAUUUUAAUAAUAGUCAUUUUUCUGAUGCAUGAGCAUGGAAUAUUGUUUUCUAUUGUGUCUUCAGUUUCCUUAUCAAUGCUUUAUAGUUUUCUGAGUAUAGGUCUUUCAUGUCCUUGGUUAAAUUUAUUCCUAAAUAGUUUGUUCUUUUUGAUGGAAUUGUAAAUGGGAUUGUUUUCUUGAUUUUUUUUGCUGGUGGUUCAUUAUUAGUGUGCAGAAAUAAAACUGAUUUGUGUAUAUUGAUUCCAUAUUUUGCAACUUUACUGAAUUUAUUUUUUAACAUAUUUUUUGAAGUAAUGUGAAAAAUUGUAAUACUAAAAUCUCACUGUUUCUACUGCACCCCAGGUAAUCCACAGGACCCACGCCAUGGUAGCUAACUAACAUCCUCUUCCCACGGUGCCUGUUAAUACCGUGUGGACUCCUACAAGGGAAUCUCAGAUUUACCUGACGGCCACCACUCACAGCUCCCGCAGAGCCCAGAGAUUUCUCCUGGAAGGAAAGGUUCUGGAAAAUCAGAGGGAUAAAUAAAGGAUGCAGCUGAUUCCCGCCUUGUGCUGACGCCCAAGAGGGUGAGGAGAGCCACGAGGCAUGUGGGAUCUUAGCUCCCCACCCAGGGAUCAAACUAGCACCCCCUGCAUUGGAAGAUGAUGUCUUAACCACCGGACUGCCAGGGAAGUCCCCACAUUCCUGUAUUGUUGAACUUGAAUUUCUGAGCUAUGUCAGACUUGGGAUGCCACUGGCCAUUUUCAAAACAAUGUCUGCUGGUAGCUGCAACUGUACGUUUUCAAGGACUCCUCUCUUAACUAUUAAAUUUUAAACAAUGAUGUUAGAUCAGAUACUAAUAGAAAGAUGAGACAUAUGUGUAGUGGUCAAUAGCUCCUGUUAUGGAUAUGUUAAUACUACAUCAGAAGUUAAGACCUACUUAGGUAGAAUUAGACAACUGGCUACAAAGUCUCUCCAAAGUGCCAGUUCCAGACUGGGUUUCAGACUUAUUCUCCUGAAUUCCUAAGGGAAUGGGAUGUACUUUUACUAUUAAAGUUUCAGUUGUUACCCCUCCUAUUGUAACUGGGUUGGUUGCACCAAAAUGGCAGACCAAGGGAUUGAGAUCUUAAUCAUACGAGUCUCAGGUCCAGGACUUGGAACUCAAAUAUUUGUAAUUUGGUAUCCAUUCCCCCAGAUUUAGGCAGGAUGAUGCCCGCCCCCGCCCCCAGUUUCAGCAGGAAGCAGCCAGAGCAGUCGUUGCCCCGUUGCCUGAAAGAUGUGGGGGAAGAUAAAACUGAAGUGGGGAUUAAAACUGAGUCCCCUUAAAACCGAGUUCCUGUGCCAAGUUUAUGAUUAAUGUCUCAAUCUGAAAUGAUUAUUCCUUUUUUUGUCAAAAACCUGUUGUCCUAAAGAUUGGGGAGUGUCUAGAAGAGGAGGAGUUAAACUGAGUGGGACUCUGUGGGUCUCCUGGGCACAGAAGCCUUUCUGUGUGCCUCCUAACUUGUUUGUGGGGAAUAGACUAGACACUCCAGGACCUUCCCUGAGUUCCAAAGGGUGGAUUCGAACAGUUGCUAAUCAGGGAAGGGAGGGGAUGCAGAGACAGGGAGGAACAGUCAAGAAACAACAGUGCAGCCUUGAGGCAGGGUCCUGGUUCUGCCUCAAGGGAUACACAUAACAAUAUUUUUGAGCUCCUUAAGUAACUAAAACCCCCAACAAAUGGAAGAUGUUAGCAUUCUUCAUUCCAGAGAAGCUCAUCAAGAGACUGUCUGAGGCCAGAUUAAAGGAGUGCAGGCCCUGUAUACACCCUGAUCCUUAUCAGCAACCACACCCUUGAACCAUUGCUAUAAAACACCUCACCAAUCCUCCCCGCACUGGGACACACAGUUGUUGAGGGCACGAGCCUGCUAUGUCCUCUAUUGGCUGGCAGAGUGAUAAAACUAAUCUUUCCUAUUUCUUCCAAAACACUGUUCUUGAGAUUCGAUUCAAAACUGGUGCAGAGAGGCUGCUUAUUCAGUAUCAGGUACAGAGUCAGGCUGUUAGAAACAGUGUCAGGUCUUUAGUUAUGGAAAGCCUCAGGGAAUUAGGGACAGACCAAGAUAUUAUGCACAGCGUCAGAGCCUUAGUUAGGGAGAGUGUCAGGGCAUGACGUAGGACCAGCAUCAGGACCGUAGUUAGGAUCAGCAUCAGGGUCUUAGUUAAAGACAUUGCCAGGACCCGAGUUAGGCACAGUAUCAGGGCCUCCAUUAGGGACAGGGUCAGUGCUUGAGUUAGAGACAGCCUCAGGGCCUGAGUUAGCGAUGGCCUCAGGGCUUACUUAGGGACAGUGUUGGGACUUUGGUGAGUUGCCUCAUGACAUUACCUAAGGGUAGUGUCAGGACUUCAGUUAUUGAUGGCAUUAAGGCCUAUGUUAGGGACAGCUUCAGGGCCUUAGUUAGGACCAGUAUCAGAGCCUGAGUUAGGCCUAACAUCAGGGUUUGCAUUAGGACUAGCAUUAGGGCCUUAGGUAUGGACAGUGGCAGGGUCUGAGUUAGGAGUAGCUUCAGGGCCUUUGUUAGGGACAGCAUCAGGGCUUUUGUUAGGAUCAGAGUCAUGACAUUAGCUAGGGACAGAGUCUGGGAAAGAGCUAGGGAUAGUGUCAAGAUUAGUUAUUGAGAGCAUCAGGGCCUGAGUUAGGACCAGCCUCAGGGCUUGAGGUAGGGACAGAGUCAGAGCCUGAGUUAGGGAUAGCCUCAGGGCCUGUGUUAGGGACAGCUUCAGGGUCUUAGUUAGGGACAAAGUCAGGACCUGAGUUAGGGACAAUGUCAGGGCCUUAGGGACAGAAUCAGGACCUGAGUUAGAGACAAUGUCAGGGCCUUAGCUAGGAUCAGCAUCAGGGUCUUAGUUAAAGACAUUAUCAGGGCCUGAGUUAGUCACAGCAUCAGGGCCUCAGGGAUAGCUUCAGGGCCUGUUAGGGACAGCAACAGGGCUUUCUUAGGGACAGUGUCAGGACCUUGUUUAGAGAUGGGUCAGGAUAUUAGCUCAGGAUAGUGUCAGGACUUUAGUUAUUGCCGGCAUCAGGGCCUAUAUUAGGGACAGCUUCCAGGCCUUAGUUAGAGACAGUGUCAGGGCCUUAGUUAGGACUAGUCAGGGCCUGAGUUCACCCCCACCCCACCCCACACACCAGACAACCUCCCCAAGCAAGGGCAACACUAAGCCUGAGAUUUGCCCUGUGCCUUAAGUACUGUCUUCAUCCCCUUAAAAUAAAAACACCCUGGAGUGCAGCCACCUGAAUCGCAGCACAGCCUAAGUGAGAACCACCCCUCUCUGCUGUGCCCCAAGGGACUCAGGGAAAAAAGCAGAUGCGAAGAACAGAAGUGUAGAAGGACUAAUAGAAUAGGAAUAAAAUAGGGAUAAUGAAGAAAGGAAAACAGACUGAAGGGCUGGAGGUCAUUUAUCAUUUAUAAAACUUUAUACGAAGUAUGAAAAAUAGCCCAGCAGGUUUCCUGCCUCUCAAGUCAUGUCACUGCAUCACGUAGUCGUCAUCCCCAAUAUGGGAUUCCUGGGCUCUGCUCUGUAUCUGGGCUGGCAACAAAACAGUGUCUACAGUUUAAGCCCACUUUUAAAAUAUAUGCAUAUACACAUAUACAUGUAUGUGUGUGUACAUAUACACAUGUAAAUACAGAACUGUGUGCAGCAUUAAAAAGAACGAAGGUGGGUUUGUACACACCAUCACAGAAAUAGGUCUACAUCAUAGUAUGACUUGAGAAAGCCAGGCUGCAGAAUAGUAUGUAUGGUCCUGCUUCUGGGAGAAAAAAAGGAAAGACUGAGAGAGAGGGAGUGAGGGGAAGAGACAAAGAGUCACAAGCCAGUUCACACCCUCACUUCACUCAAAUUUCUGCACAAAGUGACAGCCUGCGAAAGCCCUUCCCUGAUGACCCCCAGAGCUCUCUAGCCCCUCAUCCUGCUUCACUUUUCUUCCUAGUACUCGUCACAUUGUAUAUUUGUCUUAUUUAUUGUCUGUCUGUGAGUACAAGGGUCUUAGACUGUUCUGUUCAUCCCUGAGUCCCCAGCAACUAGAACAGAGUGCAGCACACAGUAGGCCCUCUGGAAGUAUUUUUUGAAUGAAUGAAUAGAAACUUCAAAGAAAUAGUCUAUAGGGAGUGGAAUAAGUGGGGAAGUAUAGAGGAUAUAUAUUUUAUUUCUGUACUCCUGUAGUCUUCUGCUUUGUAUUGCAAUAUUAUUUCCCUAUUAAAAAUCAACUGCAAAUUGGGGAAGGAAGGUCUUCCUUUAGGCUGAGCUGGCAUCUAACCCCCUGAAGCUCCCUAGUUCUAACCCAGAGCCAAGCAGAGCAAGGACCUGUCUUCCUUCCCUGUGACGGUCUUUCUUGCCUUCUCUUUCCUCCCUUCUCCAAGCUGAACUGCUCCCUGUGUCCCUGUACUGAACUCAGAAGGACUGAGAAAGGUUUUAGACUGUCUAACAGAAGAUAAACAUAUACCCAAAAAUAGACCUGAUUCACCUAGAUUUGAGAGACAAUUCAUCUUCUCUUUGCUAAUUAAAGGGAAAGAACAAGGUAUUUCUUACCUGCACGUGAUUUCGUGUGUGGGCAAAGACUCGGCGCAUCUCUGGGUUCUCGUCUUGGCCUUCAUACGCUACGGCCUGUAAACAAAGGCACGAUUUGAGCUAAGAACGGAACCAAGUAGCAGAGGACAAACUACCAUAAUCGAGUUCUUGACCAUUCACCAGUGCUGCAAGGCCAACUAGCUUUCAGAGCCAAAGGCCUCACUGGGCUGAUUGUUUUAAGACAGUUGUUAAGGAUCAACCCGAAUUGAGUGGAAGGGGAUAUGUUCCUCUCUGUCCCAUCAACCACCUUAUUAUAAUGCACAUCUUUGGAUCCUUGUAUGAGAUGGGCUUCUGUCAUCAAGACAACCACAGUUCUCUCUUCAAUUCAGAAUAAAAAUAAAUCUAAUCAAUGGGGAAGGAAAAACCCCGAAGGCUUAGCAGACUGAGAUACUAGUGAUUUAAAAUAUAGAAAAGCACAUGGAUUUUAUUUUUAAAUGAUUUGUAUUUGUCGCCUCAUUUUACUACUUCCAACUCCAACAUGUAAUAUUCUAGAGGUAAGUAGCAGAAAACAAGUGAGGCUAUGGUUAUGAGUCCACUCACUGUCUUGUGAUGAUUCAUCAAUCCGGAAAUCCUUCCUGCCUACAGGUUGAAAACGUGCUGUCUGGGGAGUAUAACCACCCAAACAGUAAUACUCGCCCGCGUAUGCUGGGGGAAGGGCAGGGUUGGGCGGGGAGUUAAGCCAUAGUUAUCUCCCUCAACUAAGAAGAAUUACAUCUGACUCUCAAAAUUUGGAGUCCCAAACCACCUCACCAGCCAAGAUGGUUUUAGUAAUAUGUGUACAAACAUGUUACUUAAGGUCGCUGGAAGUUUCCUUGAGACCUCUGCUUACUGGAAGAUCUACAUGUUAAUACCUGGGCCAGAGAAAAGCUCACAGCUAUGGGUAGAGCAGUGCUCUGCAUGGGGAUACAUUUUAACUAACUUGACAAUGUAGCACUGCGUAAUACUAAUAUAACACAGCUUCAAAUUCUUAAUAAAAUUACUUUCACACAUUCAGAUAACUCAGUUUCUCGGUGAUGAAACUACUUAAAUUAACCAGAGACUAUCCUUUUUUUAGGACACACAAAAACUGCAUAACUAACUUAUAGUUGUCAGGAAUGUGCUUGUUUAUGAACCUGAGACUUUUAGAACUGUAAAUGAUGGAGGACAGCUUAUGACACUAUGUGUGCAGACCCUCAGAGCAGGCUCUGGCUUUGUUACCUAACUCCAGUACAAAACAGAAAUUGCAACACAUUAAAAAAUGAGAAAAAGUACCUGUAUAAGGAGAAAACAUUUCUCUACCAUUGGCCCAUCAAAAGCAUUUUUUAUGGUUAGCCUGUUAUAACCCUAUAGUUUUAAUGUUUUAUUUUGCCAUAAUUUUAGAUGUAUAGAAUUUUAGAUGUAUAGAAAAGUUGUGAGGAUAUAUAAAGAAUUCCACGAUACUCUACCCAGAUGCCU